UUACUCUAAACAUUUCAAAAUAAGACGCACUUUAAAAUGGCUUCUCUUCCAGGAUCAAAGGUCACAGAGACCAUGUGACGUGCGCAGUCACAUGGCAACAGCAACAAAAGUAGAGAUUCAUUGCUUCCUACGACGUUUGCACCGACGUCCAGGAAGAAAAACCACCAGAGGAAGUGAAAAUAAAACUAGUUUCAGACAUGAAGUCAAACAGUGUUCUGGAGUUUUCUGUUCACAUGCUGGAAAAAUGCAGAGGGAGUUUGUCGAGGUAAAAGACGAUUGGGGGUUGCAACAUUCCGCCGUUUUCACGCUUUAGUGCAAAAAAAACUGAACCUUUUGAACAACGUAUUCCCCUCCUCGCCUGUGGCGGCGCUGCAUCAAGAACUGCUGAAGGAGAAGACAAGAGAAGUUGCUCAUGUGUUGGUUAAUGCAGGACAACUUCUGUUUCCUCCACAUCAGAGCCAAACAUGGAGCUGCAUCCAAUCCACCCUGAGUCGUCGUCUGCAAAGGUCCCUGAUUCUUCACUUGUGGUUGAGUUUGUGACAGACUCCAUGCAAAUCACUUUCCUCUCAGUUAUUAAAAACCACGGCUCUAUUUACUUUUCCGACGGUUUGGUGUCAGACGAUCUCGAGGAGGGAGGAUUUGUUAUUGUCUGUUGGAGCGGGAGCUGAAGGCGGCCGACGGCACAGCUGAAGGGCAAAACUCCACCAGUGGCUCCGCAGUGAAAUAAUAAUAAAAAAAGUUCAUGUUUUGUUUUUUUUUUAAAGUGUGGACACACGAUCAAUGAAAACAUAGAAAGUUGAUUUUAGCCUCAAAAUUCAUGCCCUCUUAACCCUUUAACACCUUUUUUUUGCUUAUUUUAACCAUAAAAGGGCCAGA